UACGUAGGUGGCAAGCGUUGUCCGGAUUUACUGGGCGUAAAGGGAGCGUAGGCGGAUAUUUAAGUCAGAUGUGAAAUACCCGAGCUUAACUUGGGUGCUGCAUUUGAAACUGGAUAUCUGGAGUGCAGGAGAGGAAAGUGGAAUUCCUAGUGUAGCGGUGAAAUGCGUAGAGAUUAGGAAGAACACCAGUGGCGAAGGCGACUUUCUGGACUGUAACUGACACUGAGGAACGAAAGCCAGGGGAGCAAACGGG
rnacentral:rRNA from 1 species